rnacentral:rRNA from 1 species
GACGAACGCUGGCGGCGUGCUUAACUCAUGCAAGUCGAACGGAAAGGCCCUGCUUUUGUGGGGUGCUCGAGUGGCGAACGGGUGAGUAACACGUGAGUAACCUGCCCUUGACUUUGGGAUAACUUCAGGAAACUGGGGCUAAUACCGGAUAGGAGCUCCUGCUGCAUGGUGGGGGUUGGAAAGUUUCGGCGGUUGGGGAUGGACUCGCGGCUUAUCAGCUUGUUGGUGGGGUAGUGGCUUACCAAGGCUUUGACGGGUAGCCGGCCUGAGAGGGUGACCGGCCACAUGGGGACUGAGAUACGGCCCAGACUCCUACGGGAGGCAGCAGUGGGGAAUAUUGCACAAUGGGCGGAAGCCUGAUGCAGCAACGCCGCGUGCGGGAUGACGGCCUUCGGGUUGUAAACCGCUUUCGCCUGUGACGAAGCGUGAGUGACGGUAAUGGGUAAAGAAGCACCGGCUAACUACGUG